rnacentral:rRNA from 1 species
GACGAACGCUGGCGGCGUGCCUAAUACAUGCAAGUCGAACGCAGUGGGGACGGGUGAGUAACACGUGGGUAACCUCCUAUACGACUGGAUAACUUCGGGAAACCGGAGCUAAACCGAUACUUAUAGAUGGAUCUGCCCUGCAUUAGCUAGUUGGUAAGGUAACGGCUUACCAAGGCAACGAUGCAUCACCGCCCUGAGAGGGUGAUCGGCGACACUGGAAAUGAGACACGGUCCAAACUCCUAAGGAAGUCAGCAGUAGGGAAUCUUCGGCAAAGGACGAAAGUCUGACCGAGGAACGCAGCGGGAGUGAAGAAGGUUUUCGGAUCGUAAAACUCUGUUAUUAGAGAAGCGGUAACUAAACAGAAAGCCACGGCUAACUACGUGCCAGCAGCCGCGGUAAUAC